AACUUUGUCCAAAAGUGUUCCCCGGCAAUAGACAGUACGUAUCAGAGUUAUUUCUUCUUUCUCUUGAUAAUCGUGAUAUGUUUGGGGAUAGAUCAAAAAAUUUUGGUGGUCUUUUAAGAACUCUAGUGGAUUCGUAUGAAUGGGUACCGCACAGUUCCUGUGUGCCAUUUAUAUCUCCCGAUCUUGUCGGGUGCAUGAGACUAGAGUGUCAGAGGACUCACGACAUUA
rnacentral:snoRNA from 1 species